GGUGACGCCACUUAAAAGGAUCUGUGAGCGAGUGUAGGAUCCCUCAACUGCACAUAAAUCCGAGUUAAGUAUUGUCAUAACAGAGAUUUGCAUUGCAAGGGUGUCAAAUACAAGAUAAGAAAAUAGAAGAGGUUGGGGGCAUUGGCUAAUGUUGCCAUUCCCAAGUUUGGAGAAGAGUUGUCAAAGCCUCCUGCCAUUGUAAAACCU